GUGGGGAAUAUUGCACAAUGGGCGAAAGCCUGAUGCAGCAACGCCGCGUGAGGGACGACGGCCUUCGGGUUGUAAACCUCUUUUAGUAGGGAAGAAGCGAAAGUGACGGUACCUGCAGAAAAAGCACCGGCUAACUACGUGCCAGCAGCCGCGGUAAUACGUAGGGUGCAAGCGUUAUCCGGAAUUAUUGGGCGUAAAGAGCUCGUAGGCGGUCUGUCACGUCUGCUGUGAAAACUGGAGGCUCAACCUCCAGCCUGCAGUGGGUACGGGCAGACUAGAGUGCGGUAGGGGAGAUUGGAAUUCCUGGUGUAGCGGUGGAAUGCGCAGAUAUCAGGAGGAACACCGAUGGCGAAGGCAGAUCUCUGGGCCGUAACUGACGCUGAGGAGCGAAAGCGUGGGGAGCGAACAGGAUUAGAAACCCUUGUAGUCC
rnacentral:rRNA from 1 species